UUCAAACUUGACCACUCUUUUGUGUUCUUUGUUAGAGGUUUGACUGAGCUUUUGGAGCGAAAUGCAGUGCAACUCACUAUAUGCUACUGCAGAUGUUCCCACAAGAAGUCCCUGAAAGAACCAUUGGUUUUUCUACACUGAAUUAGCAAGCAGACAGACCAUGAUAUAAUCUUAGUCUGCUUGCUGGUAUCCAUUCUACUGUCUUUGGCAGAUAUAGUAAUUUUCAAGGUACCUCCAAUCUUGCAGGUAGUGUGUAUAACAUCUUCUAUAUCAAUAGUGAAUUGGUGUUUGUUGUUUUUAAGAACUUUGUGAUAUGUAGUGUUUUGACAAUUUCUCCUUGGGCAUUCUGUGCAAUAUGCAGGAAAUUGGCAUUAGCUCGGGCGAUGUAUUUAUAUAAAAAAAUUGUGGUCAAGGCUGCAGAUUAUGUUGAGCAGGUACAUGAUGGGAAAUUGUUGGUGAAUGAUGAAAUAGGAUAUUUAGUAGCUGCCUUGUGCGAGAUUUGGCUAAAGGGUGAUGAUACUGUUAGUUCAGGAUCAUCUCUGCUCAGGAAGUAUAAACUUCAGUUGUAAGUAGUAAUCACCUUUUCGUUCUUUUAGUUUUCUGCUUCAUUUCUUAUCAUAUCUAUAUGCUCAAUUUUGAAUGUAUGUGACCUCUUUCUCAAUGUUAUGGCAUUGAUGAUAAAUGUGACAUAUCUAUCAUUGAUGGCCAUUGUUAAUUACCUGCUUGGUUGGUUUGCAUUACGGUCACAUCAUUAACCAUUUUAAGGUCAUCAGAACAAAGUUCUGCACUAGACUAUGUCAUCCACGUCUGUCGUAGUCUAGGCCUCGCCUUGGACUUAUUUGGUAAGGGACUUGUUCAUAAUUUUCUUGUAUAUAGUAGCAACCGUCAAAGUCGCUGUGUUGUGUUUGUUUCUAAACUAUCUACUUCCAUGUUUUCAGAUAUGCAUAUAAACAAGGCUCUCUACAUUCAGUGGAACA